rnacentral:rRNA from 1 species
GAAUUCGCCCUUAGAGUUUGAUCCUGGCUCAGGAUGAACGCUGGCGGCGUGCUUAACACAUGCAAGUCGAACGGACGAUGAAGAGCUUGCUUUUCAAAGUUAGUGGCGGACGGGUGAGUAACGCGUGGGUAACCUGCCUCAUACAGGGGGAUAGCAGCUGGAAACGGCUGAUAAAACCGCAUAAGCGCACAGCGUCGCAUGAUGCAGUGCGAAAAACUCCGGUGGUAUGAGAUGGCCCCGCGUCUGAUUAGCUAGUUGGUGAGGUAACGGCUCACCAAGUCGACGAUCAGUAGCCGGACUGAGAGGUUGAACGGCCACAUUGGGACUGAGACACGGCCCAGACUCCUACGGGAGGCAGCAGUGGGGAAUAUUGCACAAUGGGGGAAACCCUGAUGCAGCGACGCCGCGUGGAGGAAGAAGGUUUUCGGAUUGUAAACUCCUGUCUUAAAGGACGAUAAUGACGGUACUUUAGGAGGAAACUCCGGCUAAAUACGUGCCAGCAGCCGCGGUAAUACGUAGGGAGCGAGCGUUGUCCGGAAUUACUGGGUGUAAAGGGAGCGUAGGCGGGACGGCAAGUCAGAUGUGAAAUACAUGGGCUCAACCCAUGGGCUGCAUUUGAAACUGCUGUUCUUGAGGUGAAGAAAAGGUAAGCGGAAUUCCUGGUUGUACCGGAGAAAUGCGUAGAUUAUAAGGAGGAAACCCCCGCUGCUACAAGGCUGCUUAUUGGGUCUUUUACUUGACCUUGAUCCUUUAAAAGCUGGGGGACACAACAUCAUUAAACACCCCGGUUAUACCACCCCCACAACAACGCACUUCCACGGCGGGGGGUGACUUACCCCCUC